UAAAGUGUUUAUAGCUUGCAUAUGUAUUCAAAUGUUCAUACUUGUUCUUAGCUAGGACAAAAUUUUUCCUUCAAGGGAUCGUUCUAGGCUAGGGAUUAGGAGGGAUGGCUAACACUUGAAACUGACUUAAAAACGUAAAAUUAAGUUUAAAACACUAAACUAGACUCAAAGAAUUCAAAACAAACUCAACGAACUCAAAACAAGCUAAAAACACUCAAAUUUGCCUAAAAACACAAAUGAACCCUCAGAUUUUCCAGUUGCUUUUCAAUAAACUACGAAUUCUCAACGCCCCAGAUUAACUGUGAAUUGCACUAAUUAACCCUCAGAUUUUCCUAAUUUCAUUGAAUUGGAUGAUUGCAUACAACAACCCAAAACAUUCCCCACAAGUUCCCUAUAUGAAUUGUGAUGUGAAAAUUAUGUUGACACACAAAUUAACCCUCUUUUUAUCAAUUAUAGCAAAGUAUGUAAGUAGGGAUCGUUCUAAACCGGGGAUUAGGAGGGAUUGCAAAAUCACUUGAAAACUGACUCAAAUACGUAAAAACAAGUUUAAAACACUAAACUAGACUCAAAGAAUGCAAAACUAAACUUAGAAACACCAAAACAAACGAAAAAACUCAAAACAGCCCAGAAACACUCAAAACUGCCUUAAAACCACAAUCUGGGCAGUUUUGAACACUAGACACAAACUUGGACGAAAAUUGGUUUUCACUUGACCUAAGACACUUAAAAACACAAACUAAAGUGAUUUCUAACUACUAUGACUCAACCAAGUAAAGGGGGAUUGAUUUUGGACGAAUUUAACUUUUAAAACAAGAAUUUUGAAAACACACUUGACAAAAACGUUUUUAGGUAAAUUAAGAUGGUGAAAGGCUAGAAGGUUCCUUCUCCACACAUGAAACAUAUGCAUACGACUCGAUUUCCAAUUACUCUUUCAACAAACCAUGAAUGACAAUGCCCCAAAUUAACUAGAUUGCACCAAUUAAUUCUCAGAUUUCCCUAGAUUCAUUGAAUUGAAUGGGAUACGCAUUACAACCAAAUUAUUCUUAUCAAGGACCCUAACUAUGGAAUACGCAUGAUAGAGACACAUAUCAAAGAUCAUUAAGUUCAAUGGAAAUCAUAAGCAUUGACGAGGCAUUCAUAACUAUGGGAUGCGCAUGUUACUCUUGCCUAGGAUUUACUUAACACAAUCGUGACUAGCGACUUUUACUACUUAUGAAUAUAAGUUAAUGACGAUUAGGUGAAAUUCCCUUAUAUUCUAGCAUCAAAUUCAUGCAUGCAAACUAAGUGUCGACCCUCAAUCAACAUACAUAAACAUGUUAUCAAUCAAAUAGAUAAGUAAACCACAUUCACGAUUUAUGAAAUCAUAAUUGGAAGAAAUCAAGUCAUAUAAAACAUAUGAUCAUGGCUUUGAAUUCCCCUCUAACUAUAAAGAAAUUAGUUCCUCAUGUUCGCAAAUAAACAAAGAUAAAUAAAUUUAAACAUUAAAACAAAGAUAGAAAACACCUAGAAUCGCUCCACAAUCCAAGCUCCUUGAAUGGCAUGCACGGCUCCAAGAGUUCUUCCUUCUUUUCCUUGCAAACUCACGGCACAAUGAGGGAUGUUUGGGUGAAUGGUGUAGUGAAAAUAUGGUAGAGGAUGGUGAAUCAAAAGGGUGCGGCAUUAUGUGGUAUUUAUAGGCUGAAAAUCCCACUCCUAGAUAGCCAAGGACAAGGUUUUAAAGGCCUAAUCUGCAUAGAAUAAUAACAUACAAUCCUAUAAGGAAAACAAGUCAAAAACCCAAAGGGAUUGGGAGAUAAGGUGCGGCACAAAGAGUGUGAAAAGAUAAGGCUUCUAGAAAACCAAAAUCCCAAGGGAAAUAGGUCUAGGGUGCGGCACAUAGCUAGGGUUCUAGAAAGAAGUACAAGGCAGAUUUUUAGGCUUCUAGAAAGGUUCCUAGGCGCCAACUUUGUAGGAUAAGAUUAGGUCUUCUAGAAAUCCCAUUUUAAGCAUCAUAAUCUAGUUAGAAACCCUCCUAAGUGGCUGGAAUGUGGAUAGUUUAGGAUUAGGAUAAGAUAAGAUAGGAUAAGGUUUGUUUGGAUAAGAUAAGCUAAGAUAAGGUUAUGGAUGAGGUUUUGGAUAAGAUCCUUAUCUUGAGCUGAUUCUUUGGCUUUAACUCUUCUUCUUCAUGUAGGAAUACUUGCUUGAGUAGGAAACUUCAUUCGUCUAGGAAUCCAUCUUCAAUUAGGACUCCUACAUUGAUUAGGAAUCCUUCUUCAUUUAGGAAUCCUUCGUUUAAGCCCUUUCCUACUUCAACUAGGAAACUUUGUAUCUUCAAUUCUUCAACUUUGAAACGCCUUCCUAGCCUCAUCAAUCCCUCAAAUUCGUCCAUCCCUUGUGCUUCAUGUGCAUGAACUCCAUUUUAGCCCAAUUUUGCUCCAAAAUGCUCCAAAUUGCAUCUUUUUGCUCACUUUGUCUCUAAAACCUGAAAACACAUGAAAAUAGCUUAAAAGACUAACUUAACUAAGAAAACACAACAUAAAUGCAUAAGAACUAACUAACUAAGGCGCAUAAAUAUGCUCCUAUCAAAUUGCAUAAUAGAGAUAAAAGCAAGAAUCAUUAAGUUCUAUGAAAAUCAUAAGCAUUGAUGAAACACUUGUAACUAUGAAUUGCAUGAAACUUAUGCCAAGAAUUUACUUAACACGGUUGUGACGAGCAACCUUCACUACUUGUGAAUAUAAGUUCAUAAUGAUUAGGUGAAACUCCCUUAUAUCCUAGCAUCAAAUUUAUGCAUGAAAAUUAAGCGUGCACUCUCAACCAACAUACACAAAUCGGUUUUAAUUCAAAUGGAUAAGUAAAUUGAAUUCACAACUUAUGAAUCACAACUGAAAGUAAUCAAAUCAUAUUGCAAGCAUGAAAAUGGUUUCGAAUUCCCCCCUAGCUAAGGGGGGUUUAGUUCCUCAUACUCACAAAGCAAAGAUAAA
rnacentral:lncRNA from 1 species